rnacentral:rRNA from 1 species
UACGUAGGGUGCAAGCGUUGUCCGGAAUCAUUGGGCGUAAAGAGCGUGUAGGCGGCUCGGUAAGUCCGCUCUGAAAGCCCGGGGCUCAACCCCGGGAGGCGGGCGGAUACUGUCGAGCUAGAGUCCGGAAGAGGCGAGUGGAAUUCCUGGUGUAGCGGUGAAAUGCGCAGAUAUCAGGAGGAACACCAAUAGCGAAGGCAGCUCGCUGGGACGUAACUGACGCUGAGACGCGAAAGCGUGGGGAGCAAACAGG